UUUUGUGUAUUAAAACAAUGGUUUCUGUUAGUUAGCUGCUCGAAACAGCGAACAUAUAUACAUAACAACCAACAUAUAACAAAAACCCACUGAGUGCAUAAAUGCGUGUAUACACGGAACAAGCUAAACUGCACUAAGAUCAUAUAAUAGCAUAACAUACAAAAAAUGACAAAGAAAAGAUAGGAUAGAUACAACAAGUAGCAGCACCUACAAAAGCACGCUGCAACAUGGCAUUUUAUUUAAACACUACAAUAAUUGUUAAUAGCCACUUCCUCAGUUGAUAGCUGCUGGUGGGAUGUGUGGAGGGUCAGGCUUUGGUUUGGGCUCGGGCUUAGGUUCUGGCUGUGGUUUUGGUUCGGGCUUAGGUUCUGGUUUUGGUUGGGGCUCUGGUUUUGGUUCGGGUUUAGGCUCUGGUUUUGGAUCAGGCUUAGGCUCUGGCUUUGGUUGUGGCUCCGGUUCUGGUUUCGGUUUUGGUUCAGGUUUAGGCUCUGGCUUUGGUUCUGGUUCUGGUCUUGGUUCGGGUUUAGGCUCAGGCUUUGGCUCUGGUUUUGGUUCGGGCUUAGGCUCUGGCUUUGGCUCUGGUUUUGGUUCUGGCUUAGGCUCUGGCUUUGGUUGUGGCUCUGGCUUUGGAUCUGGUUUCGGUUUCGGCUCAGGCUUUGGCUCUGGCUUAGGUUCUGGCCUUGGUUCGGGUUUAGGCUCAGGCUUUGGCUCUGGUUUUGGUUCGGGCUUAGGCUCUGGCUUUGGCUCUGGUUUUGGUUCUGGUUUAGGCUCAGGCUUUGGUUGUGGCUCUGGCUUUGGUUCUGGUUUCGGCUCAGGCUUAGGCUCUGGCUUAGGUUGGGGCUCUGGCUUUGGCUCCGGUUUCGGUUCGGGUUUAGGCUCUGGCUUAGGCUCUGGUUUUGGUUGUGGCUCUGGCUUUGGCUCUGGUUUCGGUUUGGGUUUAGGCUCUGGCUUUGGCUCAGGUUUAUGCUCUGGCUUAGGCUCUGGUUUUGGUUCAGGUUUUGGCUUUGGUUUUAUUUUAGGUUCGGGCUUAGGCUCUGGCUUAGGUUCGGGCUUAGGUUCAGGCUUCGGUGUAGGCAAUGGCUCUGGUUUGGAUUUUGGUUGAGGCUUGGGCAUUGGUUGAGGUUCAGGGUUGGGCUUUGGUUGAGGUUCAGGCUUUGGCUCUGGAUGUGGCAUAGGUUUCGGUUUAGGUUCUGGCUGGGGCAGUGGCUGCAUAUGGGGCUCCGGCUUAGUUUUAGGUUGUGGCUCCGGCUGGGGCAUCUCAGCGGCAGCACGUCCAUGCUUGCGCGCGAAACGCGCGCCGUGGCCAAGCCCGAAGCCGGCAGCAGCCGCUUCGUCGAAGGCGGUGGCAGCGGCCACUCCUGCCAGAAGCACGGCGAGGAGAAAGCAAGAGAGGCGACGCGUCGCCGCCAUUCCUGCUGCUCCUGCAAGUUAUUAGCCUGCUAACUCUGCGGUGUGUCUUCCUCUCUCUUGCUCUAGAACUGUUGGAUCGUAGUAAUCUCUCUGCUGUGUUGUGUGUGUGUGGAUGACGGGGGUGUGGCCAUGGGUAGGAUUUAUAGCGUGGCCGAGCCAACCAGCUUUGGACGCGUGGAUGGCUGUCUGUCUUGCUGCUUACAGGUUUGGCCUCGGCCGUAUCACCGGGUUGGUAGCAGCUAAUUAAGCCCGUGUUAUUGUUAUUCAACGAAUAGCAGUAGCACGUAACUUUCACUUUUACUUUCUCACGGAUUCGCGUCCAUCUCUUCUCUUGUUCCAACAUAUAUAAUGUAGAUACACGCUGCUGUCCUGCGACUAGGGAUGAAAACGGUCGGAAACGGUAUUUAUUCGGUAAUCAGUUUUUUUGUCGUUUUUCUUUUAUUGUGAUAUAUAAUAUAUAAUACAAAUUUGUAUUCUUGUUUUUA
rnacentral:lncRNA from 1 species